AACUAACGCUGGCGGCGUGCCUAACACAUGCAAGUCGUACGAGAAAGUCGGCUUCGGCUGAUAAGUAAAGUGGCGCACGGGUGAGUAACGCGUGGAUAAUCUGCCCUUUAGUUGGGAAUAACGUACCGAAAGGUGCGCUAAUACCGAAUAAUGCUGAGUGACAUCAGUUAUUUAGCCAAAGAAGGCCUCUGCUUGCAAGCUUUCGCUGAAGGAUGAGUCCGCGUACCAUUAGCUAGUUGGUAGGGUAAUGGCCUACCAAGGCGACGAUGGUUAGCUGGUCUGAGAGGAUGAUCAGCCACACUGGAACUGAGACACGGUCCAGACUCCUACGGGAGGCAGCAGUGAGGAAUAUUGCGCAAUGGGGGCAACCCUGACGCAGCAACGCCGCGUGAGUGAGGAAGGUUUUCGGACCGUAAAGCUCUGUCGAGCGGGAAGAAAUGUAUCAUGGCUAAUAUCCAUGAUACUUGACGGUACCGCUAAAGG
rnacentral:rRNA from 1 species